CCUACGGGAGGCAGCAGUAGGGAAUUUUCGGCAAUGGGGGGAACCCUGACCGAGCAACGCCGCGUGAACGAAGAAGUAUUCGUAAUGUAAAGUUCUUUUAACAGGGAAGAAAGAGAAAUUUGACGGUACCUGAAGAAUAAGCCCCGGCUAACUACGGGCCAGCAGCCGCGGUAAUACGUAGGGGGCGAGCGUUAUCGGGUAUUAUUGGGCGAAAGGGGGGCGUAGAUGGCAUAGAAGGUUUUUGGGAAAAAUGCUGGGCUCAACCCAGUAGGGCAAAAGAUACUGGAAAGCUAGAGUAUGACAGAGGCAAGUGGAACUACAUGUGUAGCGGUAAAAUGCGUAGAUAUAUGUAAGAACACCAGUGGCGAAGGCGGCUUGCUGGGUCGAUACUGACAUUGAGGCACGAAAGCGUGGGGAGCAAACAGGAUUAGAUACCCUAGUAGUC
rnacentral:rRNA from 1 species